ACGGGUGAGUAACACGUGGGCAAUCUGCCCUGCACUCUGGGAUAAGCCCGGGAAACUGGGUCUAAUACCGGAUACGACACAUGAGCGCAUGCUCGUGUGUGGAAAGUUCCGGCGGUGCAGGAUGAGCCCGCGGCCUAUCAGUUUGUUGGUGGGGUAGUGGCCUACCAAGACGACGACGGGUAGCCGGCCUGAGAGGGUGACCGGCCACACUGGGACUGAGACACGGCCCAGACUCCUACGGGAGGCAGCAGUGGGGAAUAUUGCACAAUGGGCGAAAGCCUGAUGCAGCGACGCCGCGUGAGGGAUGACGGCCUUCGGGUUGUAAACCUCUUUCAGCAGGGAAGAAGCGAAAGUGACGGUACCUGCAGAAGAAGCACCGGCUAACUACGUGCCAGCAGCCGCGGUAAUACGUAGGGUGCAAGCGUUGUCCGGAAUUAUUGGGCGUAAAGAGCUCGUAGGCGGCCUGUCGCGUCGAUUGUGAAAGCCCAGGGCUUAACCCUGGGUCUGCAGUCGAUACGGGCAGGCUAGAGUUCGGUAGGGGAGAUCGGAAUUCCUGGUGUAGCGGUGAAAUGCGCAGA
rnacentral:rRNA from 1 species